CCUACGGGAGGCAGCAGUGGGGAAUAUUGCACAAUGGGGGAAACCCUGAUGCAGCAACGCCGCGUGAGUGAAGAAGGAUUUCGGUAUGUAAAGCUCUAUCAGCAGGGAAGAGAAUGACGGUACCUGACUAAGAAGCCCCGGCUAACUACGUGCCAGCAGCCGCGGUAAUACGUAGGGGGCGAGCAUUAUCCGGAUUUACUGGGUUUAAAGGGUGCGUAGGCUGUGAGGUAAGUCAGCGGUGAAAUGCCCCCGCUCAACGGGGUGAAGUGCCAUUGAUACUGCCUUGCUGGAAUGCGGAUGCCGUGGGAGGAAUUUGUGGUGUAGCGGUGAAAUGCAUAGAUAUCACACAGAACACCGAUUGCGAAGGCAUCUCACGAAUCCGCGAUUGACGCUGAUGCACGAAAGCGUGGGUAUCAAACAGGAUUAGAUACCCCUGUAGUC
rnacentral:rRNA from 1 species